rnacentral:rRNA from 1 species
GAGUUUGAUCCUGGCUCAGAACGAACGCUGGCGGCAGGCCUAAUACAUGCAAGUCGAACGGUGCAGCAAUGCACAGUGGCGCACGGGUGCGUAACGCGUGGGAAUAUGCCCUUGGGUGCGGAAUAGCUACUGGAAACGGUAAUUAAUACCGCAUAAUGACUCCGGCCCAAAGAUUUAUCGCCCAAGGAUUAGCCCGCGUCAGAUUAGCUAGUUGGUGAGGUAAUGGCUCACCAAGGCGACGAUCUGUAGCUGGUCUGAGAGGAUGAUCAGCCACACUGGAACUGAGACACGGUCCAGACUCCUACGGGAGGCAGCAGUGGGGAAUAUUGGACAAUGGGCGCAAGCCUGAUCCAGCCAUGCCGCGUGUGUGAAGAAGGCC